GGGGACGUAGCUCAGUUGGGAGAGCGUCGCGUUCGCAAUGCGAAAGUCGUGGGUUCGAGUCCCAUCGUCUCCA
rnacentral:tRNA from 1 species